GACGAACGCUGGCGGCGUGCUUAACACAUGCAAGUCGAGCGAGGCCCCUCCUUCGGGAGGGUGUCCUAGCGGCGAACGGGUGAGUAACACGUGGGCAACCUGCCCUCAGCUCUGGGAUAACUCCGGGAAACCGGGGCUAAUACCGGAUACGACCUCCACGGGCAUCUGCGGAGGUGGAAAGUUUUUCGGCUGAGGAUGGGCCCGCGGCCUAUCAGCUAGUUGGUGGGGUAGUGGCCCACCAAGGCGACGACGGGUAGCCGGCCUGAGAGGGCGACCGGCCACACUGGGACUGAGACACGGCCCAGACUCCUACGGGAGGCAGCAGUGGGGAAUAUUGCGCAAUGGGCGAAAGCCUGACGCAGCGACGCCGCGUGAGGGACGAAGGCCUUCGGGCUGUAAACCUCUUUCAGCAGGGACGAAGCGAAAGUGACGGUACCUGCAGAAGAAGCACCGGCCAACUACGUG
rnacentral:rRNA from 1 species